CAGCCGCCGCGGGAAUACGAAGGGUGCAAGCGUUACUCGGAAUUACUGGGCGUAAAGCGUGCGUAGGUGGUGGUUUAAGUCCGUUGUGAAAGCCCUGGGCUCAACCUGGGAAUUGCAGUGGAUACUGGAUCACUAGAGUGUGGUAGAGGAUAGUGGAAUUUCCGGUGUAGCAGUGAAAUGCGUAGAGAUCGGAAGGAACAUCUGUGGCGAAGGCGACUAUCUGGGCCAACACUGACACUGAGGCACGAGAGCGUGGGGAGCAAACAGGAUUAGAUACCCGUGUAGUCCCUGUCUCUUAUAC
rnacentral:rRNA from 1 species